rnacentral:lncRNA from 1 species
CCAUUUCAUAUUUUUCCAUCGAAUAAUAUUGAGAGGAGUGAUCGUAAACCUUAGGUCCAUAUUUUUCACUGUAUUGAGCUCGAAGUACUGCCAUAGCAUGUGGACAGGGUAUCUUGUCCAAGUCAAAAACUCUGUACGUACAAGAUCUUAUUUAAAGAUCGACUAUGGCAAAUCACCAUGACCGGUUAUACUGAAUUUGUAAUCUGCUAUUUUAUGAGAUAAUAACCUAUUCCCCAAACUGAUGUUCGUUGAUAUUAUUUUUUUCAAUUUCUAAAACAAAUGGGGCUCUUCUUAGGCCCUU